CUAAAUGAAAAUACUGGCAGAUCCAUCAAAUGUCCUUGUACAGUCCCACACACAGAUUGAGGAGGAUAAUAACGGAUUGCAGGACUUGGUGGACAAGUUGCAGCUGAAACUGAAGACCGGCAAGAAUCAGGCUGAGGAAGUGAUGAGUCACACUAGACAUGCAGUCAAAUACUCUGAGGCUGCAACUGAAAUGGAGGAAGCAGCCAACCAGGACGUUUCUAAGUUUAAGAAGGUGCAGCAUGAGAUGAGCUGGAGGAGGCAGAGGAGCACGUUUACAUCGCUGAGACCUAAGUCAACAAGCUCGGGGCCAAAGGUCGCAACGCCGGAGGAAAAGUACAGUCUAUAGGUCUGAUGCAUCCAAAA
rnacentral:lncRNA from 1 species